UGACAGUAUCACAUAGUAGGAAGCCAGUUGAGUCCGGGGGUUUGCUUUUGUAUGUUGCUUUAGGCAGUUUGGACUCCAAGACUGCCCCUGUAUUAAAUUAGGCUUUACUAUAUAUAAGCGUGUAUUGACAUUUUUGGUAGUGACGGGGAUUUAUGUGAGAAAGAUUGGUUUGUAUACAAAUAGCAAGCUAAGAAUUGAUCUAUCCUAUUGCAUGUUGUCUGGGAUGGAGUGUUUUGUAUUAUGAAGUGUAGAUCGAACUUGAAAUUUGAAGUCUUUUUUUUUU
rnacentral:misc_RNA from 1 species